rnacentral:rRNA from 1 species
UGAGCAAUCUGCCCUUCUCAUCGGAAUAAGCGUUGGAAACGACGUCUAAUGCCGAAUACGACCUCCUUUCGCAUGAUCGGAGGUGGAAAGCUCCGGCGGAGAAGGAUGAGCUCGCGGCCUAUCAGCUAGUUGGUGUGGGUAAUGGCCCACCAAGGCGACGACGGGUAGCCGGCCUGAGGAGGGUGACCCGGCCACACGUGGGACUGAGACACGGCCCAGACCUCCGUACGGGAGCA